CAUGCAAGUCGAACGAUGAUGCCCAGCUUGCUGGGUGGAUUAGUGGCGAACGGGUGAGUAACACGUGAGUAACCUGCCCCUGACUCUGGGAUAAGCGUUGGAAACGACGUCUAAUACUGGAUAUGACUGCCGGCCGCAUGGUCUGGUGGUGGAAAGAUUUUUUGGUUGGGGAUGGACUCGCGGCCUAUCAGCUUGUUGGUGAGGUAAUGGCUCACCAAGGCGACGACGGGUAGCCGGCCUGAGAGGGUGACCGGCCACACUGGGACUGAGACACGGCCCAGACUCCUACGGGAGGCAGCAGUGGGGAAUAUUGCACAAUGGGCGAAAGCCUGAUGCAGCAACGCCGCGUGAGGGAUGACGGCCUUCGGGUUGUAAACCUCUUUUAGUAGGGAAGAAGGGAGCUUGCUCUUGACGGUACCUGCAGAAAAAGCACCGGCUAACUACGUGCCAGCAGCCGCGGUAAUACGUAGGGUGCAAGCGUUGUCCGGAAUUAUUGGGCGUAAAGAGCUCGUAGGCGGUUUGUCGCGUCUGCUGUGAAAUCCCGAGGCUCAACCUCGGGCUUGCAGUGGGUACGGGCAGACUAGAGUGCGGUAGGGGAGAUUGGAAUUCCUGGUGUAGCGGUGGAAUGCGCAGAUAUCAGGAGGAACACCGAUGGCGAAGGCAGAUCUCUGGGCCGUAACUGACGCUGAGGAGCGAAAGCAUGGGGAGCGAACAGGAUUAGAUACCCUGGUAGUCCAUGCCGUAAACGUUGGGCGCUAGAUGUAGGGACCUUUCCACGGUUUCUGUGUCGUAGCUAACGCAUUAAGCGCCCCGCCUGGGGAGUACGGCCGCAAGGCUAAAACUCAAAGGAAUUGACGGGGGCCCGCACAAGCGGCGGAGCAUGCGGAUUAAUUCGAUGCAACGCGAAGAACCUUACCAAGGCUUGACAUACACCGGAAACGGCCAGAGAUGGUCGCCCCCUUGUGGUCGGUGUACAGGUGGUGCAUGGUUGUCGUCAGCUCGUGUCGUGAGAUGUUGGGUUAAGUCCCGCAACGAGCGCAACCCUCGUUCUAUGUUGCCAGCGCGUUAUGGCGGGGACUCAUAGGAGACUGCCGGGGUCAACUCGGAGGAAGGUGGGGAUGACGUCAAAUCAUCAUGCCCCUUAUGUCUUGGGCUUCACGCAUGCUACAAUGGCCGGUACAAAGGGCUGCGAUACCGUAAGGUGGAGCGAAUCCCAAAAAGCCGGUCUCAGUUCGGAUUGAGGUCUGCAACUCGACCUCAUGAAGUCGGAGUCGCUAGUAAUCGCAGAUCAGCAACGCUGCGGUGAAUACGUUCCCGGGCCUUGUACACACCGCCCGUCAAGUCAUGAAAGUCGGUAACACCCGAAGCCGGUGGCCUAACCCUUGUGGAAGGAGCCGU
rnacentral:rRNA from 1 species